AGUGCAGCGUAGUGUUCCUAAUCACAGGAAGUCUGUGAAGCUUCUUAAGGAGAAAACUCCUGCAUUAGAUAAGCUUCAUUCAGUCCAGAGUCUGUUGGCCAUGAGUUUAAGUUUAUCACCAUCUGGAGCAGUGGUCGCCAACCUUUCGGACCCCACAGACCACCAGUGGUCCGCGGACCACCAGUUGGCAACUGCUGAUUUGGAGCACUUUCAGAGCCUGAAGUCAGGCAAGAUAACCCAGGAGAGAUUAUAAAACUACAUGAAGGACCUUGAAGAGAAAACCAAAUGGGGAGAAGCACUCGAGAGCUUUAAAAGCACUCAAGAGCUGAAGUCCAAACCCACACAUCUCAGAAGAGGUUCAGCCAGUCCUCCUAGACCACACUGGGGAAAUUGUAGUUUAUGGGGGGGAAAAUUAGUGCCCAAAUAAACCUCAGUAGCUUCUCUAUUUUGUACCGAUACUUCAAUCACCAAUAUGUCCCCAUAGUUUCCUCCUCUGAGGAUCCCAAGAAUCACUUUAAAAAAAAAAAA